rnacentral:rRNA from 1 species
GGACUACCCGGGUAUCUAAUCCUGUUUGAUCCCCACGCUUUCGUGUCUCAGUGUCAAUUCAGGCCCAGGAGGUUGCCUUCGCCAUUGGUGUUCUUCCAGAUAUCUACGCAUUUCACCGCUACACCUGGAGUUCCGCCUCCCUCUACCGAAUUCUAGUCAGACAGUAUCAAAAGCAGUUCCAGAGUUAAGCCCUGGGCUUUCACAAUUGACUUUCCCGACCACCUACACACGCUUUACGCCCAGUAAAUCCGAUUAACGCUUGCACCCUCUGUAUUACCGCGGCUGCUGGCAC